GAUGAACGCUGGCGGCGUGCCUAAUACAUGCAAGUCGAGCGAACAGACGAGGAGCUUGCUCCUCUGACGUUAGCGGCGGACGGGUGAGUAACACGUGGAUAACCUACCUAUAAGACUGGGAUAACUUCGGGAAACCGGAGCUAAUACCGGAUAAUAUAUUGAACCGCAUGGUUCAAUAGUGAAAGACGGUUUUGCUGUCACUUAUAGAUGGAUCCGCGCCGCAUUAGCUAGUUGGUAGGUAACGGCUUACCAAGGCAACGAUGCGUAGCCGACCUGAGAGGGUGAUCGGCCACACUGGAACUGAGACACGGUCCAGACUCCUACGGGAGGCAGCAGUAGGGAAUCUUCCGCAAAGGGCGAAAGCCUGACGGAGCAACGCCGCGUGAGUGAUGAAGGUCUUCGGAUCGUAAAACUCUGUUAUUAGGGAAGAACAAAUGUGUAAGUAACUAUGCACGUCUUGACGGUACCUAAUCAGAAAGCCACGGCUAACUACGUG
rnacentral:rRNA from 1 species